GAGGGUAUAGCUCACUAGUAGAGUGUGUGCUUAGCAUGCACCCGGUCCUGGGUUCAAUCCCCAGUACCUCCA
rfam:Camelus ferus unplaced genomic scaffold scaffold473, whole genome shotgun sequence.